AUUGAACGCUGGCGGCAGGCCUAACACAUGCAAGUCGAGCGGAUGAAGGGAGCUUGCUCCUGGAUUCAGCGGCGGACGGGUGAGUAAUGCCUAGGAAUCUGCCUGGUAGUGGGGGAUAACGUCCGGAAACGGGCGCUAAUACCGCAUACGUCCUGAGGGAGAAAGUGGGGGAGCUUCGGACCUCACGCUAUCAGAUGAGCCUAGGUCGGAUUAGCUAGUUGGUGGGGUAAAGGCCUACCAAGGCGACGAUCCGUAACUGGUCUGAGAGGAUGAUCAGUCACACGGGAACUGAGACACGGUCCAGACUCCUACGGGAGGCAGCAGUGGGGAAUAUUGGACAAUGGGCGAAAGCCUGAUCCAGCCAUGCCGCGUGUGUGAAGAAGGUCUUCGGAUUGUAAAGCACUUUAAGUUGGGAGGAAGGGAAGUAAGUUAAUACCUUGCUGUUUUGACGUUACCAACAGAAUAAGCACCGGCUAACUUCGUG
rnacentral:rRNA from 1 species